AUGCGUAUUAGCUGUUGUGGACCACUCUCCAUUCCCAGUGCUGUCCUGGAGCAGCUCUGCCCUCCUCUGGCAGCCCUGCUUGGCUGCUCAGGGCGGCCUUUACAUUCCUCCAGCUUGUGUUACAGCUGGCCCCGUGACGCUCCAGCUCUGAGCUCCUUGAACACGGAAAGACAGACUGAUUCAAGCCUGGCUCACGAGCCCCUGGGGCUGGCCACUUUGGAGCUGCUGACCGGAUGGAGAGAGCCAGACCAUGUACCUCCUCACAGGAGAGGAAGCAGCAUGAGCCCUGGAGGUUAAAUGGAUUAACUCUCCCAGUCACCUGAGAAAAAGAAGACCGGAAGGCCUUCCUCCAACUGGGCCCAUCCAAUGAAAACAGACAAGCUGUCUUCUCACACGUACAGAUAUUAUGCAGCCCGAUUCUCUAUGCCUGGAUACAAGUAUGGGGAAGUUGACCCAUUUACUGAAGAACCAAUCAGUCUGUACAUUUCUGGGGAAGAGCUGAUGGCAUACAGAAGAAAGCAUACCUUUUGACUCAAAAGACAGUAAAGCUAAAAGGAAGAGAAUAUAAGCUCUUUAUUAAUUUUAUUGCCAAAUGUUUUUCCUGUUUAUCAAUAUGCUCAUUUUUUUGUCAAAGCUUUUAAGCAGAAAUCGAAGAGCUUUGCAACAUCUCACUUUUUUUCUAGGAAUUUUGUUGAUUAUUCUUUCUCUACCACAGUAACUUCAGUACUAGCGGAGAUGAAUUAAAACCAAAUUUGUUUUACAUAUGCAUGACAAAAGGUUAAAUUUGAAUGUUUCUCCUGUGAAGGAAGAGAGGCACAUCCCGUUUUUUGAUUCCCAGGGACUUCAUCUGCCUCUCCUCUUCUCAUUCUGUCUUUCCCAGAACACUCUGGAUGCAGAGGGGAUGGGAGAGCAUGUGACCCCGUGUACUUCCAACUAGGUGUUGAGGUACAAGCAAGGCAAUGGGCCUGUAGCAGCUCUCUGGAGCUCCCUCUUCCCUUGGGGCAAUGCUCCUUAAGACUAAACUUGAAAUUGAAAUGGAAGGAAAUCAGAACAUAAAUAUCGCUUCUCAAUUACAGUUCAUUUUCCUUUCCCUACUUCUCUCUCGUAAACACAUGCAUAUUUACUUAAAGCAGUCUUACAUUCCAGAAAUGAAGACUUUCUUAAGAAAGGAAAGUUUGAAAAUUCAACAUCCAGUUACCUUUGCCCUGAUUGCUGGGUAACUGCUGGUGAGUCAUCCUUCUGUAAAAAAAUGAGGGUAGGCAUCUCAAUGAUUGAUGAAGGUUUUCUUGACUGGCAGGGGGCCUUACCCAGAUGGUAAUAAAAUUUUCCACCUACGUCUUAGUUUCA
rnacentral:lncRNA from 1 species